CGUAUGAAGCUUGGUAAUAUCUCAGUGACAUCCCUGAUACGAGCCCCUGAUGAUGUUCUGACACCGAAUAUAGAGAACAGUAAUUUUCCCUACCAAGUACCUACCUUCCAUAAGUGUGAAAUCUGUUUGCUGUCUUUUCCAAAAGAGACCCAGUUCCAGCGCCAUAUGAGGGAUCAUGAGCAAAAUGACAAGCCUCACCGAUGUGACCAGUGUCCGAUGUCAUUUAAUGUUGAAUUCAACUUGACACUUCAUAAAUGUACUCACAAUGGUGAAGAUCCUACAUGUCCCGUGUGCAACAAGAAAUUCUCCAGAGUAGCCAGUCUGAAAGCUCAUAUAAUGCUACAUGAGAAAGAAGAGAAUCUUAUCUGUUCAGAGUGUGGAGAUGAAUUUACUUUACAGAGUCAGCUGUCCAUACACAUGGAAGAACAUCGUCAAGAAUUGGCAGGCAGUAGGAUCCACAGCUGCAAGUCUUGCAAAAAGGAAUUUGAAACUUCCUCACAGCUAAAGGAGCAUAUGAAAACUCACUAUAAAAUAAGGGUAUCAAAUACCAGAUCUUACAACAGAAAUAUUGAUAGAAGUGGGUUUACCUAUUCCUGUCCUCACUGUGGGAAGACGUUCCAGAAGCCAAGUCAGUUAACACGACAUGUUAGGAUACACACAGGUGAAAGACCUUUCAAAUGCAGUGAAUGUGGAAAAGCCUUUAACCAGAAGGGGGCAUUGCAGACCCAUAUGAUCAAGCACACUGGUGAAAAACCCCAUGCUUGUGCCUUUUGUCCUGCAGCCUUUUCUCAGAAAGGCAAUCUUCAGUCACACAUACAGAGAGUUCAUUCAGAGGUGAAGAAUGGCCCUACAUACAACUGUACAGAAUGUAGCUGUGUCUUCAAAAGCUUGGGUAGUUUAAAUACACAUAUCAGCAAGAUGCACAUGGGUGGUCCACAGAAUUCUGCGAGCGCUUCAACAGAUGUAUCUCAUGUUACGGCAGACUCUGUCACCCAACCUUUAACAACAUCCCCUGCUAAUCUUUUGCAACCUGUUGAUAACAAAUGGAAGAAUGCCACACAUUUUCGGUCUCCACUUCUUCAACAGACAGAAAACCAGGUGUCGUCAGCUACUGCUCAUCAGGGUCAGCAGGCUGUAACUGAUGUCAUCCAGCAGCUCCUUGAGUUAUCAGAACCAGGUCCUGUAGAAAAUAACCAGCCUCAACAACCUGGUCAACAGCUCAACAUUGCAGUGGGAAUCAAUAGAGAUAUUUUGCAGCAAGCUUUAGAGAACAGUGGGUUGUCUUCGAUUCCCGUCUCUGCACAUUCUACUGAGUGCAGCCAGGCUAAGACUCCUGGGGCUCAGGAUCAGAACCCAGACGUCCAGACUCUCUCAAAUCAUCAGGCUGACUCUAAUAAUGCAGAACAAGAUAAGGAGCAAGAGAGUACAGAUAAACUGGAUAAAAAAGAAAAAAAGGUUAUUAAGAAAAAAUCACCGUUUUUACCUGGUUCUAUACGUGAAGAAAAUGGAAUAAGGUGGCAUGUUUGUCCAUAUUGCUCUAAAGAAUUUAAAAAACCAAGUGAUCUAGUGCGUCACAUUCGCAUUCAUACCCAUGAGAAGCCGUUCAAGUGUCCGCAGUGUUUCCGCGCCUUUGCUGUUAAGAGUACUCUCACAGCUCACAUAAAAACACAUACUGGCAUUAAAGCUUUCAAGUGCCAAUUUUGUAUGAAAUGCUUUUCCACCUCAGGGAGUUUAAAAGUUCACAUUCGUCUACAUACAGGUGUUAGGCCUUUUGCUUGUCCUCACUGUGACAAAAAGUUUAGAACGUCGGGCCACCGGAAAACACAUAUUGCUUCACAUUUUAAACAUACUGAACUAAGAAAGCUGAGACAUCAACGUAAACCUGCAAAAGUUCGAGUAGGAAAGACGAGUGUUCCAGUACCAGACAUUCCCUUGCAAGAGCCCAUACUCAUAACUGAUUUAGGUCUUAUCCAGCCAAUCCCAAGGAAUAGCCAGUUCUUCCAAAAUUAUUUUAACAAUAAUUUUGUGAAUGAUGCAGACAGACCAUACAAAUGUUUUUAUUGCCAUCGAGCCUAUAAAAAAUCUUGUCAUCUUAAACAACACAUCAGGUCACAUACUGGUGAAAAGCCAUUUAAGUGCUCUCAGUGUGGAAGAGGUUUUGUGUCAGCUGGAGUUCUGAAAGCACAUAUUAGAACACACACUGGAUUGAAAGCUUUUAAGUGUCUUAUAUGCAACGGGGCCUUCACUACUGGUGGUAGCCUCAGGCGACAUAUGGGGAUCCAUAAUGACCUUCGACCGUAUAUGUGUCCAUAUUGUCAAAAAACAUUCAAGACAUCACUAAACUGUAAAAAACACAUGAAGACUCAUAGAUACGAACUUGCACAGCAACUUCAGCAGCAUCAGCAGUCUGCUUCAAUAGAUGACUCUACAGUAGAUCAGCAGAGCAUUCAUGUUUCUACACAGAUGCAAGUGGAGAUUGAAAGUGAUGAGCUACAGCAGUCAGAAGCUGUUACAACAGAUCAGCAGGCUAUUUUAGAGUUAGACCAGCAGCCAGUAGUAGGCACAGAAGAAACAGCACUAGAACAACAAUUGGCUGAUCAGCCUUUAGAGCAAGAUGAGGAUAGAUUUGUGACAUCCCAGCAUGCUUUACAGGAGAACAUCACUCAAUUUGAACAACAAGCUAUAACACAGCAGCCAUUUGAUCAACAGGGCUUAUCACAAGGUUUUACAGUAAAUGACAGCUACAAUCAACAGACUCAAUUUCCAGCUGUACAGCAGCUGCAGGAUUCAAGCACACUUGAAUCUCAGGCUCUUUCAACGAGUUACCAUCCACCAGCUCUUCUUCAGGUUCCAAAUACAGACACUAUUAACGUAACUACUCGCUUGAUACAAGAUCAGUCAUCACAAGAAGAGCUUGAAUUGCAUACCCAACGGCCUCAUUUUCUUGAGGAUAACGAAGAUCAAAGCAGGCGUUCAUAUAGGUGUGAAUAUUGCAACAAGGGUUUUAAGAAAUCCAGCCAUUUGAAACAACAUGUACGAUCUCAUACUGGUGAGAAACCUUAUAAAUGCCAACUCUGUGGUCGUGGCUUUGUUUCGUCAGGAGUUCUUAAGUCACAUGAGAAGACUCAUACAGGAGUUAAAGCAUUCAGCUGUAGCAUUUGCAAUACCUCCUUCACAACUAAUGGCAGCCUUACCAGGCAUAUGGCAACUCACAUGAGCAUGAAGCCUUACAAGUGCCCAUUCUGUGAUGAAAGCUUUCGAACAACUGUUCACUGCAAAAAACAUAUGAAAAAACAUCAGGCAGUCUCCUCAGCUGUAGCAGCAGCUACAGAAUCAGGAGGGGGAGUUGCAUGUGUUGAAGAUGAUGAUGAAAAUUCUGAAAGAACUUCCAGAAAAUCUCGUCCUGGUGUCAUAACUUUUACAGAAGAAGAAACAGCAGAACUGGCAAAGAUCAGGCCUCGAGAAAGUGCCACUGUCUCAGAAAAAGUUCUUGUCCAGUCUGCUGCAGAGAAAGACAGAAUUAGUGAGAUCAAAGAUAAGCAAGCAGAACUUGAAGCAGAGCCCAAAUAUGCUAACUGUUGUAGUUAUUGCCCCAAAAGCUUUAAAAAACCCAGUGAUUUAGUCAGGCAUGUUCGUAUCCAUACUGGAGAGAAGCCAUAUAAGUGUGAAGAAUGUGGAAAGAGUUUCACCGUAAAAUCCACUCUGGAUUGUCAUGUUAAAACGCACACAGGCCAGAAGCUCUUCAGUUGUCAUGUAUGCAGUAAUUCUUUUUCUACAAAAGGGAGUCUAAAAGUCCACAUGCGUCUGCAUACAGGAGCAAAGCCCUUUAAAUGUCCACACUGUGAUUUACGGUUUCGUACGUCAGGGCGCAGAAAAACCCACAUACAGUGUCAUUAUAAACCAGAGACAAAGAAAGUUAGGAAGCCUGUCUCCCGUACUUCAGCUGAGGGACUACAGCCAGUCAGUCUUCUUAAUUCAUCCUCAACAGACCCUAAUGUUUUCAUCAUGAAUAACUCCGUUUUGACGAGUCAGUUUGAUCAAAAUUUACUUCAGCAAGGACUUGUGGGCCAGGCUAUCCUGCCUGCUUCAGUGUCAGCUGGAGGUGACUUAACUGUGUCCUUGACAGAUGGUAGCUUGGCCACUCUUGAAGGAAUACAGUUACAACUUGCUGCUAAUCUGGUUGGACAAAAUGUUCAAAUUUCUGGAAUAGAUGCCACCAGUAUUAACAACAUAACAUUACAGAUCGAUCCAAGUAUUCUACAGCAGACAUUACAGCAGAGUAAUUUACUUGCUCAGCAGCUAACUGGAGAUCCCAGUAUGGCUCCACAGAAUCCCUCCCUCCAGGCAACAGAAAAUGCAGUGCCAGCUAAUGUGGUUAUUCAGCCUAUAUCAGGCCUCUCUUUGCAGCCCACAGUAACAUCAUCUGCUAACAUGACAAUAGGAUCCCUAUCUGAGCAAGAGUCUGUGCUGACGACCAGUGCUAGUGGUGCACAGGACAUCUCUCAAGUCAUGACUUCACAGGGUAUGGUAUCAUCUUCAAAUGGACAACAUGAGAUAAUGUUGACCAUAAAUAAUUCCAGUUUGAGUCAAGUUCUAGCUCAUGCUUCGGGUUCUACUACUACAAGCUCAUCAGGAAGUCCUCAAGAAAUCACUCUUACAAUAUCUGGCCAAGAUCUUAUUCAGCAUAAUUCUGGAAGCAGUGAUCUGAAUAGUGGUUUAAGGCUGACAGCGCCAACCAUCAGCAGUCAGACUACAGGUGCUACAUUAACUAUAAGCAACGACCAGCUUCUUUCUCAAGGCACUUCACUAAAUGCUCCAGAACUUAAUACAACAGGUGGAACAAACCUUCCUCCAACAACACCCAUAUCUCAGUCUACAGUUUCUGCUCAGAAUUUGGUAAUGUCUUCAUCAGGAGUUGGAGGAGAUGGUAGUGUCACCUUGACUCUUGCUGACACUCAGGGAAUGUUGUCAGGUGGUCUUGAUGCAGUUACACUUAAUAUCACUUCACAGGGUCAGCAGUUCCCUGCUAUACUCGCAGAUUCCAGUCUUGCUAGCCAAAGUGGGUCAGGCUCACAGCAAGUCAUACUGGUGAGCCAUACACCCCAUUCAGCAUCUGCAAACUCUGAUGAAAUAACGUAUCAGGUGACAGAGGUUUCUCCUAAUGUGACUAAAAGCAGUCAAGCAGAAAAAGAAGGUCGCGUGCACCAGUGUUUUGAGUGUAGUCAAACCUUUUCUUCAGCCACCAUGUUGAUGCACCAUAGUAAAGAGGUUCAUGGCAAGGAAAGAAUACAUGUUUGCCAUGUCUGCAAUAAAGCCUUUAAGCGGGCAACACAUCUCAAGGAAAAGUAUAAGGGAUUGGCAGAUCAGUGGAACAGAACUGCAUCACAAACUGUUUCUUCAGAGAAAGGAACACAUGCAAACCCAUCAGGCUGGACCUUCACUGAGUUCCCAGAAGCCUAGAGUGUUUAAGUGUGAUACUUGUGAAAAAGCUUUCGCUAAGCCAAGUCAGCUGGAGAGACACAGUCGCAUUCACACAGGGGAACGGCCAUUUCAGUGUACACUAUGUGAAAAGGCUUUUAACCAGAAGAGUGCUCUUCAAGUCCACAUGAAAAAGCACACAGGAGAGAGGCCUUAUAAAUGUGAUUACUGUGCAAUGGGAUUUACACAGAAAAGCAAUAUGAAACUGCAUAUGAAACGGGCUCAUGGUUACACUGGUCCUGUACAAGAGCCUACUAGUCAUCAAGAACAAGAAGGGGAAGAUAUUAGUCGUGCUCUGAAUUUAGAAGAAGUGGUACAAGAAUCUUCAAAUGAAUGGCAAAGUAUAGGCAGUGUUUUUCGAUGACACCUUAAAGUUUGAAAGCUAAAAAUGUUUCUGGGACUCGAAUUUCUUGAAACAAGUUUUCAGAAAAGUAACAGAUGGAUUUUACAGUUACAGCUUCAAGCAUUGAAAAUAUUAACAUAAGAAUAAUAUAUUAUAGUUUUUUUAAUUAUUUACAAGAAUUACCUAAAAGCAUCAUUCUUUUUUAAGCUUGUAGAAGAAUAUUGGGAAAACAUCAUUUAAUCUGUGCUAAGUUGUCUGUGAAUCAAUGAACUCAGGUAAUACUGUAUACAGUUUCAUCUUCUAAUUCACAGCCAGUAUAUCAAUUUGAAAAAUAAACUGGAACUUUAUAUCAGAAUAGAAUGAUUCCCAUUUUUAAAGGAGGUGAAGAAUAACUUCGUGGGAAAACCAUGAAACUGUUGGUCAGCUUUCUUUUUUACAUGUUUAAAAAAAUAAUUGAGGUUGGAAACAAAAUGUUACAGAGGAGAUGCAUGCAGUAUAAAAUAGUUUUGGUGGUUUUUUUGGUUUUUUGGGUUUUUUUUACAAGGCACAGGAGAACUCUGUAUUUCUGUUUUAAGCUUUUUUUAGUACAUUUUGAGAAUUUGUUGAAAAAAAUAAAAUGCCAUGAACUUAAUGGCUUUUCUUGAGUUAAACUCUUGAGAGGGAGCAUGUUCAUUUCCAUUCCAACCGCAGAGGCAGUUAGUUGUUAGUUUUUACAUUAAAAGUCUGAGGUUUUAAACUCGGCAAUAAUUAUUUAAAGAGAAUCCAAACUAGAAGAGGUUCCAAUGAAAGCCUCUUCUUUAUGUUUGCUGUUUUGGAUCAGCAGGUACAUAUCUUAGUAUCUGUGGAAAACACAGCCAUAUACUAAAUCUGGGAAGUAAACAUACACUUUUGUGUUAGCAGUGAGAAAGUUAGAUGCACGCUAGGUCACCUAUGUUAUACAAUAUUCCCCAGUGCUGUAAACAGUUAUCAUUUCAAAUCUGUAAAUUCCUCAUUAUUUUCUUUGUGAAUUUUGGAAAUAUGUUACUUUUAUUUGUUGUUGUUUAAGUCAUUGUUUCAGAAAAACUACCUAGUUGACUAAGUAAUGCUUUGAAAGGUGCCACUUGUUAAGUAUAUUCAUAACAAAGAAACACUGGAGUAAAAACAUAGUCAUCUUUUAGACAUUCCAAAGACAGAAGCUCUUUUCUUAUUUUUACCUUGUUCUUUUGAAUUUUAUUUAUAUGUUACAUAUAUAUAGAUAUAUAUAUAUGUGUGCUUGUAUGUAUAUAUAUAUUUAAAGUUAUAUGAGCCUCUGUGUGGCCGAUCAGUAUAUUUUGUAAAUACUAAACCCAGUUGCAGGAAGUUCAUCUUUUCGGUUUGCCACAAGUACUUCUAGAUCAGUGGUGGAUUUGUUGUACUAUAAUACAGAGCUGGAUUUUAAUUUACCUUCUGAAAGAUAAUUGCUCUCAGAUCCAAAAAGCCCAUUUCUGUAAAUAUUGUCUAUACUUUCUCUAUGAUACAAACUAGUUAUUUCAGAUUGCUGAAGCAAGAAAUCACUGUUGGUUUUGAUAGGGCAUCUCUUAAUUCUUUUGUUAACUCUUUGGCAUAUGUAUAUAAGUAAUAUAGUUGGUGACAUGAAAAUAACACUUUUGUUAUGUGGAAUAUUUAAUUCAGAAACAUGUUAAAUAAUACUACUUUUUUCCAAA